UACGUAGGGUGCGAGCGUUGUCCGGAAUUAUUGGGCGUAAAGAGCUCGUAGGCGGUUUGUCGCGUCGACUGUGAAAACCCGAGGCUUAACCUCGGGCCUGCAGUCGAUACGGGCAGACUAGAGUUCGGUAGGGGAGACUGGAAUUCCUGGUGUAGCGGUGAAAUGCGCAGAUAUCGAGAGGAACACCAGUGGCGAAGGCGAGUCCCUGGACAACACCUGACACUGAGGCACGAAAGCUAGGGGAGCAAACGGG
rnacentral:rRNA from 1 species